UAAGGAAUAUUGGACAAUGGAGGCAACUCUGAUCCAGCCAUGCCGCGUGAAGGAAUAAGGCCCUAUGGGUUGUAAACUUCUUUUAGACGGGACAAAACCCCUUUACGUGUAAAGGGUUGAUGGUACUGUCAGAAUAAGCAUCGGCUAACUUCGUGCCAGCAGCCGCGGUAAUACGAAGGAUGCAAGCGUUAUCCGGAAUUAUUGGGUUUAAAGGGUGCGUAGGCGGACUAAUAAGUCAGUGGUGAAAGCCUGCAGCUUAACUGCAGAAUUGCCAUUGAUACUGUUAGUCUUGAGUACAGUUGAGGUCGGCGGAAUGUGUCAUGUAGCGGUGAAAUGCUUAGAUAUGACACAGAACACCGAUUGCGAAGGCAGCUUGCUAAGCUGUAACUGACGCUGAGGCACGAAAGCGUGGGGAGCAAACA
rnacentral:rRNA from 1 species